GUAGGGACGGGAGGCGCGGCACGUGAUCUCUGACGCACGCAGGCCGCGGGGCGGGGCGGGGCUGGGCGGGGCGGGGCGGGGCGGGGCUGGGCGGGACUGGAACCGGCACUUGGCACCCCUUACGCCUUACGGUGGCCGCUGCGCCCAGUCACAUCUAUUGCAUUUCUCUGGAAUGACCACAGCAAUAUUUCCAGCCCUUGAUGAUCUUCUAGAACUUUGCCACUUCCCUGCAUCAAGAGGUAAAAUCCAUUUCUAUUCUCUUGAAUUGAACAGCUUCAAUGAAUUGAGUGCUGAAGAAUUAACACUCUGUGACUUCAUGACUUGUUGGAAAUUGUGAGGAAUCUCAGGCCACAUGGAGGGGCCAGUGAAGAUGUUCCAGCUUAUAGCCCCAGCUAAGGUUUCAACUAAUAGCCAGACUCAACCACCAGGUAUAUGAAUGAACCUUCAGAUGAUUCUAGUCUCCAGCCUUCAAGCUUCCCCAGUCGAUGCUGAGUGGAGCAAAAAAAGGAAUUAUUCUCACUGAGCCCUGUCCAAAUUGCAAAUACCUGACAAAAAUAAAUAUUGUUGUUUUAAGCCACUAAAUUUUGGAGGAACUUGUUAUGCAAUCAUAAAAACAGAUUUUGUUAUCUGGAAGUGAGUGCCAUGUAACAGAAAUCUAAAAUGUGGUAGUGGCUGAAGCUAGACUAGACAGGAUUAGGCAGGACUAGACAGAGGGCAGAAGGUGAGAGGGCCUUCAGGUGACUGUGGAAGGCUGAUGGACCUCAAGGAGGCUAUCAGAGAGGGUUUAGAGGAG
rnacentral:lncRNA from 10 species